UACGGAGGGGGCUAGCGUUGUUCGGAAUUACUGGGCGUAAAGCGUACGUAGGCGGAUAUGCAAGUUGGGGGUGAAAUCCCGGGGCUUAACCCCGGAAUUGCCUUCAAAACUGUGUAUCUUGAGACCGAGAGAGGUAAGGGGAAUUCCGAGUGUAGAGGUGAAAUUCGUAGAUAUUCGGAAGAACACCAGUGGCGAAGGCGCCUUACUGGCUCGGUACUGACGCUGAGGUACGAAAGCGUGGGGAGCAAACAGG
rnacentral:rRNA from 1 species